rnacentral:rRNA from 1 species
ACUCCUACGGGAGGCAGCAGUAGGGAAUAUUGGACAAUGGGCGCAAGCCUGAUCCAGCCAUGCCGCGUGCAGGAUGAAGGCCCUAUGGGUCGUAAACUGCUUUUGUACGGGAAGAAACCUCACUACGUGUAGUGAGUUGACGGUAC